UGAGGAAUAUUGAACAAUGGAUGGAAAUCUGAUCCAGCCAUGCCGCGUGCAGGAAGACGGCCCUAUGGGUUGUAAACUGCUUUUGUAUGGGAGCAAUAAGGUCUAUGCGUAGACUGAUGAGAGUACCAUACGAAUAAGCAUCGGCUAACUCCGUGCCAGCAGCCGCGGUAAUACGGGGGAUGCAAGCGUUAUCCGGAUUUAUUGGGUUUAAAGGGUGCGUAGGCGGUUUGAUAAGUCAGCGGUGAAAUAUUUCAGCUUAACUGAAAGGGUGCCGUUGAUACUGUCAGGCUUGAAUAUGGUUGCUGUGGGUGGAAUGUGUGGUGUAGCGGUGAAAUGCUUAGAUAUCACACAGAAUAUCGAUUGCGAAGGCAAGCUUCUGGUCGAUAACUGACGCUGAGGUACGAAAGUGUGGGGAUCAAACA
rnacentral:rRNA from 1 species